UACGGGGGGGGGCAAGCGUUGUUCGGAAUUACUGGGCGUAAAGGGCGCGUAGGCGGUUGGAUAAGUCAGACCUGUGAAAACCACGGGCUUAACUCGUGGCCUGCAGUUGAGACUGUCUGGCUUGAGUGUGGGAGAGGAGAGUGGAAUUCCUGGUGUAGCGGUGAAAUGCGUAGAUAUCAGGAGGAACACCGGUGGCGAAGGCGGCUCUCUGGACCACAACUGACGCUGAGGUGCGAAAGCGUGGGGAGCAAACAGG
rnacentral:rRNA from 1 species